rnacentral:misc_RNA from 1 species
GUUGCUGAUCAUGAAGUUGAGGCCAUCGUUGUUAAACCUCCUCCAUUAAAACGGAAGAGUGAUGCAGCAUAUAAUGAAGCUGAGUCCAAUGAGUGGAACACUAGUGCUGGCUUCACAGAAGUAGAUAACAGUCCCCUCCAGACACCUGUGUCUGGAAAAGGUGGAAAGGCACCCAAAACAUCUAGGCUUUCAAAGAGCAGUAAAUCUGGAUCCCAGACCGCUUUGAAUCUUGGUUCUCCUGGAAAUAAUCUUACUCCAAC